rnacentral:rRNA from 1 species
AUUGAAUGCUGGCGGCAGGCAUAACAAAUGCAAGUCGAGAGAGCGGCGGACGGGUGAGUAAUGUCUGGGAAACUGCCUGAUGGAGGGGGAUAACUACUGGACACGGUAGCUAAUACCGCAUACCAUCAGAUGUGCCCAGAUGGGAUUAGCUAGUCGGUGGGGUAACGGCUCACCUAGGCGACGAUCCCUAGCUGGUCUGAGAGGAUGGCUGGCCACACUGGAACUGAGACACGGUCCAGACUCCUACGGGAGGCAGCAGUGGGGAAUAUUGCACAAUGGGCUAAAGCCUGAUGCAGCCAUGCCGCGUGUGUGAAGAAGGCCUUCGGGUUGUAAAGCACUUUCAGCGGGGAGGCGUUACCCGCAGAAGAAGCACCGGCUAACUCCGUGCCAGCAGCCGCGGUAAUUC